ACUUUCUGUUUUGUCGAGCCCUGCUUUGGUCUCUGGUUUGAUGGUAGCACGUGCUAAAAAUCCAGUACAUUCUAUUUUGUUUCCCAUCCCAGUCUUUCGCGACACUUCAGGUUUACUUAUUUUGUUAGGUCUCGACUUCUCCGCUAUGAUCUUCCCAGUAGUUCAUAUAGGAGCUAUAGCCGUUUCAUUCCUAUUCGUUGUUAUGAUGUUCCAUAUUCAAAUAGCGGAGAUUCACGAAGAAGUAUUGCGCUAUUUACCAGUGAGUGGUAUUAUUGGACUGAUCCUUUGGUGGGAAAUGUUCUUCAUUUUAGAUAAUGAAACCAUUCAAUUACUACCAACCCAAAGAAAUACGACCUCUCUGAGAUAUACGGUUUAUGCCGGAAAGGUACGAAGUUGGACUAAUUUGGAAACAUUGGGCAAUUUACUUUAUACCUACUAUUUCGUCUGGUUUUUGGUUUCUAGUCUAAUUUUAUUAGUUGCCAUGAUUGGGGCUAUAGUACUUGCUCCAGCAUGAAAUUUCCAUUUCAGGGAAGGCUUUUUGGACUAAGGGUACCAUGAUACUUUCUGUUUUGUCGAGCCCUGCUUUGGUCUCUGGUUUGAUGGUAGCACGUGCUAAAAAUCCAGUACAUUCUAUUUUGUUUCCCAUCCCAGUCUUUCGCGACACUUCAGGUUUACUUAUUUUGUUAGGUCUCGACUUCUCCGCUAUGAUCUUCCCAUUAGUUCUUAUAGGAGUUGUUUCAUUCCUAUUUGUUGUUAUGAUGUUCCAUAUUCAAAUAGCGGAGAUUCAUGAAGAAGUAUUGCACUAUUUACCACUGAGUGGUAUUAUUGGACUGAUCCUUUGGUGGGAAAUGUUCUUCAUUUUAGAUAAUGAAACCAUUCAAUUACUACCAACCCAAAGAAAUACGACCUCUCUGAGAUAUACGGUUUAUGCCGGAAAGGUACGAAGUUGGACUAAUUUGGAAACAUUGGGCAAUUUACUUUAUACCUACUAUUUCGUCUGGUUUUUGGUUUCUAGUCU
rnacentral:lncRNA from 1 species